rnacentral:tRNA from 1 species
GAGGGUAGAGCUCAGUGGUAGAGUGCAUGCUCAGCAUGCAUGAGGUCCUGGGUUCAAUUCUCAGUACCUCCA